AAGCUCGUAGUUGAAUUUCGGGACCAAUAUGUCGGUCGUGCCUCGGUACGUACUGGCAUCGUUGGUUUCUCCCUUCUGACGAACCAUGAUGUCAUUUAUUUGGUGUCGUGGGGAAUCAGGACUGUUACUUUGAAAAAAUUGAGUGUUUAAAGCAGGCUCACGCUUGAAUACAUUAGCAUGGAAUAAUGAAAUAGGACGUUUGAUUCUAUUUUGUUGGUUUCUAGGAUCGACGUAAUGAUUAGGAGUNUAGUGACNGUAGGACGGGCGGGUCGGUACGG
rnacentral:rRNA from 1 species